AAUCAACGCUGGCGGCGUGCCUAACACAUGCAAGUCGAACGCGAAAGCCCCUUCGGGGGCAAGUAGAGUGGCGUCCGGGUGAGUAACACGUGGGUAAUCUACCUCCGGGUGGGGAAUAACUCGCCGAAAGGCGGGCUAAUACCGCAUAAUGCAGCGGCACCGAAUGGUGAUUAGUUGUUAAAGCGGGGGACCUUAGGGCCUCGCGUCUGGAGAGGAGCCUGCGGCAGAUUAGCUUGUUGGUAGGGAAUGGCCUACCAAGGCUGCGAUCUGUAGCUGGUCUGAGAGGACGGCCAGCCACACUGGCACUGACACACGGGCCAGACUCCUACGGGAGGCAGCAGUGGGGAAUUUUGGGCAAUGGGCGAAAGCCUGACCCAGCAACGCCGCGUGAAGGAGGAAAUCCUUCGGGAUGUAAACUUCACAAGCAAGGGAAGAGCGCGCAGGGUCGAAUAAACUCUGCGUCCGACGGUACCUUGCGUAAGCCACGGCUAACUACGUGCCAGCCGCCGCGGUAA
rnacentral:rRNA from 1 species